rnacentral:rRNA from 1 species
CAGUCGCCGCGGGAAUACGUAGGUCCCGAGCGUUGUCCGGAUUUAUUGGGCGUAAAGCGAGCGCAGGCGGUUAGAUAAGUCUGAAGUUAAAGGCUGUGGCUUAACCAUAGUGCGCUUUGGAAACCGUUUAACUUGAGUGCAAGAGGGGAGAGUGGAAUUCCAUGUGUAGCGGUGAAAUGCGUAGAUAUAUGGAGGAACACCGGUGGCGAAAGCGGCUCUCUGGCUUGUAACCGACGCUGAGGCUCGAAAGCGUAGGGAGCAAACAGGAUUAGAUACCCCGGUAGUCCCUGUCUCUUAUACA